rnacentral:rRNA from 1 species
UACGAAGGGGGAGCUAGCGUUGCUCGGAAUCACUGGGCGUAAAGGGUGCGUAGGCGGGUUUUUAAGUCAGGGGUGAAAUCCUGGAGCUCAACUCCAGAACUGCCUUUGAUACUGAAGAUCUUGAGUUCGGGAGAGGUGAGUGGAACUGCGAGUGUAGAGGUGAAAUUCGUAGAUAUUCGCAAGAACACCAGUGGCGAAGGCGGCUCACUGGCCCGAUACUGACGCUGAGGCACGAAAGCGUGGGGAGCAAACAGG